AUGAUCCUACGGGGGGCAGCAGUGAGGAAUAUUGGUCAAUGGGAGAGAUCCUGAACCAGCCACGCCGCGUGAAAGAAGACGGCCCUAUGGGUUGUAAACCUCUUUUGUCGGAGAACAAAACCCGGGACGUGUCCCGGACUGCGUGUAUCCGAAGAAAAAGCAUCGGCUAACUCCGUGCCAGCAGCCGCGGUAAUACGGAGGAUGCGAGCGUUAUCCGGAUUUAUUGGGUUUAUAGGGUGCGUAGGCGGUCCGUUAAGUCA
rnacentral:rRNA from 1 species